rnacentral:misc_RNA from 1 species
GAUGAAGAACGCAGUGAAAUGCGAUACUUGGUGCGAAUUGCAGAAUCCCGUGAACCAUCGAGUCUUUGAACGCAAGUUGCGCCCGAAGCCAUUAGGCCGAGGGCACGCCUGCCUGGGGGUCACACGUCGUUGCCCCCCCCAUCUACUCCUUCGGGAUUGCGGGGGGCGGAUGAUGGCCUCCCGUGCGCCUCGCCGCGCGGUUGGCAUAAAUGCCAAGUCCUCGGCGACGCACGCCACGACAAUCGGUGGUUGCGAAACCUCGGUUGCCCGUCGUGUGCGGUCGUCGCGCAUCGAGGGCUCGAAAAAAUUGCCGGGUUCCGGCUCGGCUUUCAACGCGACCCCAGGUCAGGCGGGGUUACCCGCUGAAUUUAAGCAUAUCAAUAAGCGGAGGA